AGAGUUUGAUCCUGGCUCAGGACUAACGCUGGCGGCGUGCCUAACACAUGCAAGUCGAGCGGGGUAGCAAUACCCAGCGGCAGACGGGUGAGUAACACGUAGUCAACCUUCCCGAUAGUGGGGGAUAACUAGCCGAAAGGUUAGCUAAUACCGCAUACGAUCUUCGAGUGGCAUCGCUUGAAGAUGAAAGGAGCAAUCCGCUUUCGGACGGGACUGCGUCCCAUUAGCUAGAUGGUGGGGUAAUGGCCUACCAUGGCGACGAUGGGUAGCUGGUUUGAGAGAGCGACCAGCCACACUGGGACUGAGAAACGGCCCAGACUCCUACGGGAGGCAGCAGUGAGGAAUUUUCCGCAAUGGGCGAAAGCCUGACGGAGCGACGCCGCGUGUGGGAAGAAGGCCUUCGGGUCGUAAACCACUGUCGAAGGGGAAAAUAAUGAUGGUACCCUUGGAGGAAGCCCCGGCUAACUACGUGCCAGCAGCCGCGGUAAGACGUAAGGGGCAAGCGUUGUUCGGAAUUAUUGGGCGUAAAGCGCUCGUAAGCGGGACUGGAAGUCC
rnacentral:rRNA from 1 species